ACUUUGUGGUUAAGGCAUUACACAGGUUUUUCAUUAAAUCUUUCCCAUACUUCAUGUAGAGGUUCCCCAUUAAGUUGACAAAAAUUAGUAAUUUUUUCCCAAAAUU
rfam:Capsicum annuum cultivar Zunla-1 chromosome 5, whole genome shotgun sequence